AAUUCCAGAAGUGGUGUGUGUAUAGAAACUGGAGGUUGAAAGAGAAGACAGCUCAGGAUCUCUCUGCUGUUCUGCCUCCCAGGCCACUGCUCACUCUGAGUGGCUUCUCCCUUCCUUAGAACAACCACAGCCUCCAUCUCACAGUUCCCUCUGCUCCAUCAUCUGUACAUACACGCUCUCACUCCCAAUAGCCAUGCGUGGUGGGAACAAUGAUCAAGUCCAUGGUCCAGAUAAGAAAGCAGAGGUGAGGCAAUGCAUCGGUUGUCCGAAGUUACAUGGACAGUGAGUGAAGGAGCAAGAUCCACACUCAAGUCUCUGUGGCUCCUUUACCAAUGUUCCGCCCACCCCUCAGAGAACAACAAAAAAAACCCAACCAUUUUUAUUAGUGUAAUUUAGUGCUUUCUGUGUCUCUGGAUUUGUCUUUUUCAUGUAUUUCCUAUGAUGGAAUCACAUAGUAUGUGGUCUUUGGGAAUGCCUUCUUUCACUCAGCGUGCUAUUUUCAAGAUUCAUCUACGUUGUAGACUGUAGUGCCCAGCCAUGGUCCUGCUGCCUCCUAACCUUAUGGUCUUUCCCUUUCCUUUUCAAUAUUAAAGAGUCUCCUCAGACCAUGGCCUCCUGAUUGGUGUGAUUAUAAACUAGUGCUUUGGACUCCCUGAUAUACCUCUUCAAGUCCACUGAGACUCAAAUAAACAUCCAAACCCUGACACCUCCGGGUCAGGUGGUGACCCAUGCCACUUUACAUGUGACCCAUUUAUUGUCAGGUCACUAGGAAUCUUUCUGGAAGGUGAAUACUUCGACUUCAGCUCAAUGCCAGCUCCAUGAAGGCAAAACCAUUGUCUUGUUCAUCACUGUUCUCUCAGCACAUAGAGUGUGUGGCAUAUAACAGGACUUUUACCUCAAUGAAAACAGUGCCCGUCAUGUAGUAAGCACCUUUAAUUCCUAUGAAUUUUAACUCCUGGCACCAUGUUAUAGGACAGUAUUGGUUAAUAUUUGGAAUUCAAGUGACAAAAGUCCAAACUGAGCUGAUGUAGGAGAUAUAUUGGCAAAAAUAUUCCUACGAGAGAUGUCUGAAAUUUUGCU